rnacentral:rRNA from 1 species
GUGGGGAAUAUUGGACAAUGGGGGGAACCCUGAUCCAGCCAUGCCGCGUGUGUGAAGAAGGCCUUUUGGUUGUAAAGCACUUUAAGCGAGGAGGAGGCUACCGAGAUUAAUACUCUUGGAUAGUGGACGUUACUCGCAGAAUAAGCACCGACUAACUCUGUGCCAGCAGCCGCGGCAAUACAGAGGGUGCAAGCGUUAAUCGGAUUUACUGGGCGUAAAGCGCGCGUAGGUGGCCAAUUAAGUCAAAUGUGAAAUCCCCGAGCUUAACUUGGGAAUUGCAGUCGAUACUGGUUGGCUAGAGUAUGGGAGAGGAUGGUAGAAUUCCAGGUGUAGCGGUGAAAUGCGUAGAGAUCUGGAGGAAUACCGAUGGCGAAGGCAGCCAUCUGGCCUAAUACUGACACUGAGGUGCGAAAGCAUGGGGAGCAAACAGGAUUAGAAACCCUAGUAGUCC